rnacentral:rRNA from 1 species
AGAGAGGAGCUUGCUCUUCUUGGAUGAGUUGCGAACGGGUGAGUAACGCGUAGGUAACCUGCCUUGUAGCGGGGGAUAACUAUUGGAAACGAUAGCUAAUACCGCAUAACAAUGGAUGACACAUGUCAUUUAUUUGAAAGGGGCAAUUGCUCCACUACAAGAUGGACCUGCGUUGUAUUAGCUAGUAGGUGAGGUAAUGGCUCACCUAGGCGACGAUACAUAGCCGACCUGAGAGGGUGAUCGGCCACACUGGGACUGAGACACGGCCCAGACUCCUACGGGAGGCAGCAGUAGGGAAUCUUCGGCAAUGGGGGCAACCCUGACCGAGCAACGCCGCGUGAGUGAAGAAGGUUUUCGGAUCGUAAAGCUCUGUUGUAAGUCAAGAACGGGUGUGAGAGUGGAAAGUUCACACUGUGACGGUAGCUUACCAGAAAGGGACGGCUAACUACGUGCCAGCAGCCGCGGUAAUACGUAGGUCCCGAGCGUUGUCCGGAUUUAUUGGGCGUAAAGCGAGCGCAGGCGGUUUGAUAAGUCUGAAGUUAAAGGCUGUGGCUCAACCAUAGUUCGCUUUGGAAACUGUCAAACUUGAGUGCAGAAGGGGAGAGUGGAAUUCCAUGUGUAGCGGUGAAAUGCGUAGAUAUAUGGAGGAACACCGGUGGCGAAAGCGGCUCUCUGGUCUGUAACUGACGCUGAGGCUCGAAAGCGUGGGGAGCGAACAGGAUUAGAUACCCUGGUAGUCCACGCCGUAAACGAUGAGUGCUAGGUGUUGGAUCCUUUCCGGGAUUCAGUGCCGCAGCUAACGCAUUAAGCACUCCGCCUGGGGAGUACGACCGCAAGGUUGAAACUCAAAGGAAUUGACGGGGGCCCGCACAAGCGGUGGAGCAUGUGGUUUAAUUCGAAGCAACGCGAAGAACCUUACCAGGUCUUGACAUCCCGAUGCUAUUUCUAGAGAUAGAAAGUUACUUCGGUACAUCGGUGACAGGUGGUGCAUGGUUGUCGUCAGCUCGUGUCGUGAGAUGUUGGGUUAAGUCCCGCAACGAGCGCAACCCUUAUUGUUAGUUGCCAUCAUUCAGUUGGGCACUCUAGCGAGACUGCCGGUAAUAAACCGGAGGAAGGUGGGGAUGACGUCAAAUCAUCAUGCCCCUUAUGACCUGGGCUACACACGUGCUACAAUGGUUGGUACAACGAGUUGCGAGUCGGUGACGGCGAGCUAAUCUCUUAAAGCCAAUCUCAGUUCGGAUUGUAGGCUGCAACUCGCCUACAUGAAGUCGGAAUCGCUAGUAAUCGCGGAUCAGCACGCCGCGGUGAAUACGUUCCCGGGCCUUGUACACACCGCCCGUCACACCACGAGAGUUUGUAACACCCGAAGUCGGUGAGGUA